rnacentral:rRNA from 1 species
AGUGAACGCUGGCGGUAGGCCUAAUACAUGCAAGUCGAACGGCAGCACAGUAAGAGCUUCCUCUUACGGGUGGCGAGUGGCUGACUGAUGCGGAAUCCAUCUACAUCUACUUUUUCGUGGGGGCUCACGUAGGGAAACUUAUGCUCCUACCGCAUACGACCUACGGUUUUUAGCAGAUGAACUUCGCACCUCGCUCGAUUGAAUGCGCCGAUGUCGGUUUAGCUAGUUGGCGGGGUAAAGGCACACCAAGGCGACGCUACGUAGCUGGUCUGAGAGGAUGAGCAGACACACUGGAAGUGAGACACGGUCCAGACUCCUACGGGAGGCAACAGUGGGGAAUAGUAGACAAUGGGAGGAAGCCUGAUCCAACCAUACCGCGUGGGUGAAGAAGGCCUUCGGGUUGUAAAGCUCUUCUGUUGGGAAAGAAAAGAAGCAGGUUAAUUCCGCGCUGUUCUGACGGUACCCAAAGAAUAAGCACCGGCUAACUUCGUG